UCAUUUAGAUUGGCAGCCUUCUAAGGUAUCCUAUGACGGGGUAUUGACAUUCGUUUGCUGUGACGAGACUAAGUCGUUCUCCCUAAGCAAGCCAGAGAUAUGGAAAACGUUAGUUGAGAGAAUAGAUUUCCUUUACGCGCCUGGAAGUCAUCUAAAAGUACGAGAUGGAAUUAGUGGAGAAAAUUGUGGAUCCAUGAUAAUGACAACAGCAGCAAUGAGCUAUCUUUCAAAAUCUCAACACCACAAUUUCCUGGCUGUAAGAACAAGACGUCAAGAGAAAUUGGUGGAAUUUCUAAAGCAAGGAAUACAAAUCUGGAUGCUUUCAAGUUUCUCAAAAUGGGUGAAAGGCACUCUCCAGUUAAAUUCGGAAGAAACAGAGUUUAAUUUUGAAUAUAAAUUGUUAGGAUUUUAUACAGUAC